rnacentral:rRNA from 1 species
UACAGAGGGGGCAAGCGUUGUUCGGAAUUACUGGGCGUAAAGGGCGCGUAGGCGGCCUUCUAAGUCGAACGUGAAAUCCCCGGGCUCAACCCGGGAACUGCGUCCGAUACUGGAAGGCUUGAAUCCGGGAGAGGGAUGCGGAAUUCCAGUGUAGCGGUGAAAUUCGUAGAUAUUCGGAAGAACACCAGUGGCGAAGGCGGCUCACUGGACUGGUAUUGACGCUGAGGUGCGAAAGCGUGGGGAGCAAACAGGG